rnacentral:rRNA from 1 species
GACGAACGCUGGCGGCGCGCCUAACACAUGCAAGUCGAACGGGGAAGUUAGCAAUAACUUUCUAGUGGCGAACGGGUGAGUAACGCGUGGACAACCAACCUUGUAGUGGGGGACAACACUUCGAAAGGAGUGCUAAUACCGCAUAAUCUCUUCGGGCCGCAUGGUCUGGAGAGGAAAAGAGCCGCAAGGCUCCGCUAUAAGACGGGUCCGCGUCUGAUUAGCUAGUUGGAGGGGUAAUGGCCCACCAAGGCGACGAUCAGUAGCCGGUCUGAGAGGAUGAACGGCCACACUGGGACUGAGACACGGCCCAGACUCCUACGGGAGGCUG